rnacentral:lncRNA from 1 species
CUCCUCUGCCCUGGAGUCCAGGCCUUGGGAUGUGACAGAAGUGACGCUGUGCCAGGUCCAAGCUAGGAAGCCUGUGUGUUCCGGGCUCUCUCCUGGCCAGCCCGGUGGAGGGUGGACAUGUGAAGCAUGGCUGGUCAUCCCCGCCAAGGCCACUUGGAUCGUCCAUCCCAGCCCCCAGCACUGGGUGAGGGAGCCCCGCUAACCCAGCGUAGAUCAGCAGAACCGCCCACUGACCCACGACACGAGAAAUAACAGACCAUUGUGUGGCGUCCAGCUGUUGUACGCAAUGACACAAAAACAGCUCUGCGGUGAGCACACACUCCAGACUGGGAGAUGAUUUCUGGUCUGUGCUUCUUACUUCUCUAUUAUUUGUACAUUUUGGUGACUGAACCAAGUGCACUAUUCCUUUCCUUUUCAUAAAGUUUACGCGUUGUGAAGUCAACCCCAGCACACGCCCUGGAAGUGAAGACUGACCUGUGAUGUCAUGGGGGUGGAGUCUCUCGGCUGCAUCUUUUCGUGGCAACUGCCUGGGAAUCAAACAGUUCUCACCUACUGUUUCCACACAGUUUCUGGAGUAAAUGGACUUUUCCCUCCAUUUCCGGGAGGGAGCUCAAUUGUCCUGGUGAAACCAAAGUGUAUAUUUAGGCGCUGAUUUUUACUCAUGAAACUGGGAAGUGAUUUCCUGCUCUCUCUAGAGCAGGCUCACUUUCCAUGAAAUAGUCAUCCAGGCUGAACAUGAAUGUGGCCAGAACUCCAGACCCACAACUAAGCGGCUCAGAAGCUCGUUCACGUCUGGACUCUGCGAACCCUUAGAGUAUCUGAGCCCUGGAAGGUCCCCAAGUCACGACGGGUCAUGGACAAGGGGACCCGAGGGAAGUCGGCUGGCGUCUGGCAGGUUGUGAGAGUAGCUGUGCUCUGUCCUCACAGCACGUGGCCACAGUGAUCAGGUGUGAAAAUCUGACGGACAGCAGGGCUGCCAGACCACCCAGUGGUCCUGGACUCUGGCAUAAUCUUCAUGUUUACACACAGGACUGAG